rnacentral:tRNA from 1 species
GACUCCGUAGCUCAGCCGGAUAGAGCACCGGUUUCCUAAACCGGGGGUCGCAGGUUCGAAUCCUGCCGGGGUCGCCA